AAUAAAAAUGGAUUUCAUUCAGUAAAGAUAGAAGUGUACAAUAAAGUUGAUUGAAUGAUUUUGACUUUAUCGUCUCUACGCUUUUUGCACUAACUUACCAGGCACUAUAAUCGUAUCAUUCUUCAUCCAGUAAUUAAUGGACUUGGGAAACGCCUCUGAUUGGCAUUCCAGGGAAAUGUUCUGUGCAAGUGCGGCACCAACUAAUUGAUUUUGUAUCCAAAUCAUUGGCGGAACUGUAAAAGGAUAAAAGGAGGAAUAACACCAAAGCUCGUAAAGUAUGCGUAAAAAGAACAAAGAGCAAGGAUGGGAGUUAACUGAGUACCGGAGAACGACGUUUAAUGGCGGAAUGUAAUUGUAAUGGCAGGUCAGCUGUCAUCAUGCCGAAAAAAAACUAAGCGAAAUAUAUGCCAAGGUGGCCAAAAAGUAAAUGCUAGUAAAAAUCAAUAGCAAUCGCACAGCGAGUCGAGAAAUGUUUGCCAAGAAAGUGAUGAUUGGUAGUAAGUAAGAAAUUGACAGUUUGAAGUAUAUUUAGACUACCAACCAAAGAAAAGUGGCAAGUCGAAGUUUCUGGGAAUUGGCCAUCUUUCAUUUCCUUAUCAUUAAGCCCUCGAAAUGCUUAUGAACAUACUUCAAAUUGAGCUAUUUCUGUUUGCCACUUGAUUGCACUCACCUUUUUGAGGAAUGCCGCAAUACACUGCGCUCCAUUUGCGUGAGGCAGUGAGAGAUGGAGAAAGUGAAAGAGAAAGAGAAAGAGAGAGACAGAGAAAGAGCGACGGAGACGGCAAAUAGGCCAAGCGAACCUCAAAACUUCAUUAGCCAAAAAGCACGCGCCGAAAUUGAAGCGACAGCACCAACAACAACAACAAUAACCAAAGAUGUAUGCAGAUUGGAGAAAGAAGAAAAAUCGACAGAGAAAGAGAAAGAGAGAAUCUUUGGGACGUCGGAGGCCAUAAAUUGCACGGCGGCAAAAAUAAAUGUAAAGUAAAUGGCGCUAAUUCAAAGUAGAUUUAUUUAUUAUGCCAUUUUACUUGCGGCAGCUCGCCAAGAAAUAUGCUUUAAAUUUUCACAGACCAUUGUCAGUCUCCCUGUCUCUCUCUCUCUCUUUUCAUCUCAUUCCUUCUGUUUUGGCGCACGGUAGGCGUAGUCGAACAACAAACGAAAACAAAUGAAAAUAAAUGUUCAAAAAAAAAUUAUGCAACAAAAACAAUAAAGUUGCCGAAGAAAAACUGUAGCUCCUGGCACUGCCAUUUAUGGGAAAAACUCUCAAGCUUUCUCUUCUUCAUUUUUUUUUUUUGCUGUGCAAGUACACGAACAUUUUAAUUUACGCAUCCUGUGGCGCCUCCUUUGAGAAGCAACGCACCUGCUGCGACAGACAGCCCAUCGUACGUUCAGCAUCUCAGUUGCUGCCACAGCCGCGGGCUGAGACAGUGAGAGAGACGAGAGGAAGAGAGAGGCGCCUGGACGUCUGCUGUUGAUUUUAGCCAUAAUGCUAACGCAUUUAAGCCAAUUUUCGUGUCAGCUCUCAAUGAUUUAUUAGCCCAAAAACUGUAGACAGCUUAGCACCCGGAUACGCAGUCGGAUACGGUUACAGAUACUGAGUAUAGGGAACGCUGCAUGGGAUCUCCACAAACACUCAAGUAGGUGUCAACAACUGCCUCCAAGUUGCACAAAUUUGUCUACAAUUUGCUUUUGUUUGCGCCUAAUGAUUAUAAUUACGACAAAUUUCGACAAAUUUUCAGUUACAACAGCAAAUUGGACUCAACUUAGGUGGGAGAUGUAGAACAAAGGACAGAAUUUUCUAUUUUAAUGUUUAAAGGAAUGUUGAUGCCAUUUAAUCUAUUACAUUCUGAUUUUUUUU